rnacentral:rRNA from 1 species
UACGUAGGUGGCGAGCGUUGUCCGGAAUUACUGGGUGUAAAGGGCGUGUAGGCGGGGAAACAAGUCAGAUGUGAAAUACCGAGGCUUAACUUCGGGGCUGCAUCUGAAACUGUGUCUCUUGAGUGUCGGAGAGGAAAGUGGAAUUCCCAGUGUAGCGGUGAAAUGCGUAGAUAUUGGGAGGAACACCAGUGGCGAAGGCGACUUUCUGGACGAUAACUGACGCUGAGGCGCGAAAGCGUGGGGAGCAAACAGGG